rnacentral:tRNA from 1 species
CGCCGGGCACGCGGGCGAGGUGGUCGCGCAGGGUGCGGCCGGUGUCGCCGCCCGCGAAGCCGGUCACGGUCACCUCGUGGCCGAGCGC